GACGGGGGGAGCAAGCGUUGUUCGGAUUUACUGGGCGUAAAGGGCGCGUAGGCGGUCAGCACAAGUCAGUUGUGAAAUCUCCGGGCUUAACUCGGAAAGGUCAACUGAUACUGUGCGACUAGAGUGCAGAAGGGGCAACUGGAAUUCUCGGUGUAGCGGUGAAAUGCGUAGAUAUCGAGAGGAACACCUGCGGCGAAGGCGACCACCUGGACUGAUACUGACACUGAGGUGCGAAAGCGUGGGGAGCAAACAGG
rnacentral:rRNA from 1 species